AGUGAACGCUGGCGGUAGGCCUAACACAUGCAAGUCGAACGGCAGCACAGUAAGAGCUUGCUCUUACGGGUGGCGAGUGGCGGACGGGUGAGGAAUACAUCGGAAUCUACUUUUUCGUGGGGGAUAACGUAGGGAAACUUACGCUAAUACCGCAUACGACCUACGGGUGAAAGCAGGGGAUCUUCGGACCUUGCGCGAUUGAAUGAGCCGAUGUCGGAUUAGCUAGUUGGCGGGGUAAAGGCCCACCAAGGCGACGAUCCGUAGCUGGUCUGAGAGGAUGAUCAGCCACACUGGAACCGAGACACGGUCCAGACUCCUACGGGAGGCAGCAGUGGGGAAUAUUGGGCAAUGGGCGCAAGCCUGAUCCAGCCAUACCGCGUGGGUGAAGAAGGCCUUCGGGUUGUAAAGCCCUUUUGCUGGGAAAGAAAAGCAGCAGGUUAAUACCCCGCUGUUCUGACGGUACCCAAAGAAUAAGCACCGGCUAACUUCGUG
rnacentral:rRNA from 1 species